rnacentral:rRNA from 1 species
UACAGAGGUCUCAAGCGUUGUUCGGAUUCAUUGGGCGUAAAGGGUGCGUAGGCGGCGCGGUAAGUCGGGUGUGAAAUCUUGGAGCUUAACUCCGAAACUGCAUUCGAUACUGCGGUGCUUGAGGACUGGAGAGGAGACUGGAAUUUACGGUGUAGCAGUGAAAUGCGUAGAUAUCGUAAGGAAGACCAGUGGCGAAGGCGGGUCUCUGGACAGUUCCUGACACUGAGACACGAAGGCCAGGGGAGCAAACGGG